GCUACAGGAAACCUUAAAGGAAGUUGACGGGGGCCCGGCACAAGCGGUGGAGUAUGUGGUUAAUUCGACGCAACGCGCAGAACUACCUGGUCUUGACAUCCCGAGAAUUUCCUGGAAACAGGAAAGUGCCUCGCAAGAGGAACUUGGUGACAGGUGCUGCAUGGCUGUCGUCAGCUCGUGUCGUGAGAUGUUGGGUUAAGUCCCGCAACGAGCGCAACCCUUGUCUUUAGUUGCCAUCAUUAAGUUGGGCACUCUAAAGAGACUGCCGGUGUCAAACCGGAGGAAGGUGGGGAUGACGUCAAGUCCUCAUGGCCUUUAUGACCAGGGCUACACACGUACUACAAUGGCAGGUACAAAGGGCAGCCACUUAGCGAUAAGGAGCGAAUCCCGUAAAACCUGUCUCAGUCCGGAUUGGAGUCUGCAACUCGACUCCAUGAAGUUGGAAUCGCUAGUAAUCGUGGAUCAGCAUGCCACGGUGAAUACGUUCCCGGGCCUU
rnacentral:rRNA from 1 species